AGAGUUUGAUCCUGGCUCAGGAUGAACGUUGGCGGUCUGCUUAACACAUGCAAGUCGAACGGAACUUUUCGGAGUUCAGUGGCGGACGGGUGAGUAACGCGUGAGAAUCUGCCUUCUGGUCGGGGACAACCACUGGAAACGGUGGCUAAUACCGGAUGAGCCUACGGGUAAAAGAUUUAUUGCCAGAAGAGGAGCUCGCGUCUGAUUAGCUAGUUGGUGAGGUAAAGGCCCACCAAGGCGACGAUCGGUAGCUGGUCUGAGAGGACGAUCAGCCACACUGGGACUGAGACACGGCCCAGACUCCUACGGGAGGCAGCAAUUAGGAAUCUUGCGCAAUGGGCGAAAGCCUGACGCAGCGACGCCGCAUGGGGGAGGAAGGCCUUCGGGUCGUAAACCCCUUUUAACGGGGAAGAAGAAUGUGACGGUACCCGUUGAAUAAGCCCCGGCUAACUACGUGCCAGCAGCCGCGGUAAUACGUAGGUGGCAAGCGUUGUCCGGAUUUACUGGGCGUAAAGCGAACGCAGGCGGACCUUUAAGUAGGAAGUGAAAGGUUGGAGCUCAACUCUAACACUGCUCCCUAUACUGGAGGUCUUGAGUAGCGGAGAGGAAAACGGAACAAGUUGUGUAGCGGUGAAAUGCGUUGAUAUAACUUGGAACACCAAUGGCGAAAGCAGUUUUCUGGACGCAGACUGACGCUGAGGUUCGAAAGCCAAGGUAGCAAACAGGAUUAGAUACCCCGGUAGUCC
rnacentral:rRNA from 1 species